GACGAACGCUGGCGGCGUGCUUAACACAUGCAAGUCGAACGGAAAGGCCUGCUUUCCCUUGUGGAUUGCGGGUACUCGAGUGGCGAACGGGUGAGUAACACGUGAGUGAUCUGCCCCCAACUUGGGUAUAAGCCUGGGAAACUGGGUCUAAUUCCCGAUAGGACUGCAGGGUGGUGCCUGUGGUGGAAAACGAUUUUCUAGUGGUUGGGGAUGAGCUCGCGGCCUAUCAGCUUGUUGGUGGGGUAAUGGCCUACCAAGGCGGCGACGGGUAGCCGGCCUGAGAGGGUGGACGGCCACAUUGGGACUGAGAUACGGCCCAGACUCCUACGCGAGGCAGCAGUGGGGAAUAUUGCACAAUGGGCGGAAGCCUGAUGCAGCGACGCCGCGUGGGGGAUGACGGCCUUCGGGUUGUAAACUCCUUUCGACCGCGAGGAAGCCACCUGGUUGGAAGGGUGGUGACGGUAGUGGUAGAAGAAGCACCGGCUAACUACGUG
rnacentral:rRNA from 1 species